UACAGAGGGUGCGAGCGUUAAUCGGAAUUACUGGGCGUAAAGGGUGCGUAGGUUGUUAUGUAAGUUGGAUGUGAAAGCCCCGGGCUCAACCUGGGAACGGCAUCCAAGACUGUAUAGCUAGAGUCGUGUAGAGGGAAGUGGAAUUUCCGGUGUAGCGGUGAAAUGCGUAGAUAUCGGAAGGAACAUCAGUGGCGAAGGCGGCUUCCUGGACACAGACUGACACUGAGGCACGAAAGCGUGGGUAGCAAACAGG
rnacentral:rRNA from 1 species